rnacentral:rRNA from 1 species
UGAGGAAUAUUGGUCAAUGGGCGAAAGCCUGAACCAGCAACGCCGCGUGAGGGAUGAAGCAUCAAGGUGCGUAAACCUCUGUUAGGAGGGACGAAUAGUUCCAUAGUGAAUAAUUAUGGGACUUGACGGUACCUCCAGAGAAAGCCCCGGCUAACUCCGUGCCAGCAGCCGCGGUAAUACGGGGGGGGCAAGCGUUGUCCGGAAUCAUUGGGCGUAAAGGGCGCGUAGGCGGGAUGGUAAGUCAGGGGUGAAAAUCUCGUGCUUAACACGAGACUUGCCUUUGAGACUGCCAUUCUUGAGUACGGAAGAGGGAAGUGGAAUUCCCGGUGUAGCGGUGAAAUGCGUAGAUAUCGGGAAGAACACCAGUAGCGAAGGCGGCUUCCUGGUCCGUUACUGACGCUGAGGCGCGAAAGCGUGGGGAGCAAACAGG